rnacentral:rRNA from 1 species
GAUGAACGCUGGCGGCGUGCCUAAUACAUGCAAGUCGAGCGAACGGACGAGAAGCUUGCUUCUCUGAUGUUAGCGGCGGACGGGUGAGUAACACGUGGAUAACCUACCUAUAAGACUGGGAUAACUUCGGGAAACCGGCGCUAAUACCGGAUAAUAUUUUGAACCGCAUGGUUCAAAAGUGAAAGACGGUCUUGCUGUCACGUAUAGAUGGAUCCGCGCUGCAUUAGCUAGUUGGUAAGGUAACGGCUACCAAGGCAACGAUGCAUAGGCGACCUGAGAGGGUGAUCGGCCACACUGGAACGGGGACACGGUCCAGAGGCCUACGGGAGGCAGCAGUAGGGAAUCUGCCGCAAAGGGCGAGAGCCUGACGGAGCAACGGCGCGUGAGUGGUGAAGGUCUUCGGAUCGUAAAACUCUGUUAUUAGGGAAGAACAUAUGUGUAAGUAGCUGUGCACAUCUUGACGGUACCUGAUCAGAAAGCCACGGCUAACUACGUG